UAAAUAGCAACUCUGGCUGUUUUUUCCCACAGCUGACAACAGAGUCAACCUCUUCGAGGCAGGAGCAUUCUGGCAUUUUGCACAGAGAAAACAGAACACAAUUUGCCCUCGGGCCCAGUUGAUGAUUCCUGGACCGUGGGGUCGGUAUCCAGGGCUGGCAUCUCCACGGUUCUUUUAUCUCAGUCUCCACUAUAAACACCAGGCCCCAUGAGAGCUGCUGGGCUGAGGCUCAUUUAAAGAAGCUUCCUGCGGAAUGAUGAGGGAAAAAAGGCAGGCACCGGUGAGUGGGAAGUUCAGCCUCAUAGAAGUCCCCUUGCUGGUGCAGGUCAUGAGGAAGAUGAACUAGCAAAGCUGAGAUGCGCCCAUCACGGGCAAGCAUUGAGGAGGAAGCUGUUCACGAAGCCAGACGUGCCUACCUAACUACUAUCUCCAGCAGCAAUUACAGCAUCUGACUCGUUUGUGCUUUUAGUCAGAGAAAAACGCAUCACCUUGGAAUCCUGAUCUUGUGAGUUCUUUGUUACAGGA